ensembl:lncRNA novel transcript
AAAUAUCUGACACUAGCUCUCCCAGCCUCCCUUGCUAUUGUGGUAGAGCAUACACAUUCCACUAGUCAGAUACACAUGCCCCAGAGUGGGAAUCAGAAGCUUGUGAUAUGAAAGAGGAGAGGCCUUUCAAAUCCAUCGCAGUGAUGGUGGUGGGGAUAUAUAUCCAGAAUACUGGAUAAAAGCAACUCAGCUGGUUUUGUAGAUUGUCUUAAUUCUUAAGCAAAUUAAUAGCGGUAAUUACAUCAGAAGGGGCAGGGUUCAACUAUGUUGAAGAGAAAGCUAUUUUCAAAAGUUUAGUAGAAUAUAUUUGCAUCAAAUAACUUGUCUAAUGAUAAAAAUAGCUUAGUUUAAUAAACUUUCCAGCAAUAGGGAAAUACUGGGUAUCAGUUCUAAAUGUUUCCAUACUUUCAAAAUCAACACAAUUUUAUUUCUUAAUAAAAUUCUCAAAAUCUGA